GACGAACGCUGGCGGCGUGCUUAACACAUGCAAGUCGAGCGGUAAGGCCCUUUCGGGGGUACGACGAGCGGCGAACGGGUGAGUAACACGUGGGUGACCUGCCCUCAGCUCUGGGAUAAGCCUGGGAAACUGGGUCUAAUACCGGAUAUGACUCCAUGACGCAUGUUGUGGGGUGGAAAGCCUUGUGCGGCUGAGGAUGGGCCCGCGGCCUAUCAGCUUGUUGGUGGGGGAUGGCCUACCAAGGCGACGACGGGUAGCCGGCCUGAGAGGGCGACCGGCCACACUGGGACUGAGACACGGCCCAGACUCCUACGGGAGGCAGCAGUGGGGAAUCUUGCGCAAUGGGCGAAAGCCUGACGCAGCGACGCCGCGUGAGGGAUGACGGCCU
rnacentral:rRNA from 1 species